rnacentral:tRNA from 11 species
AAAAUGUGCUUGGGUUAGAACCACGGACCUUUUAGCCAGUAAAUUCAUACUCUAUCCACUGAGCCACUCAUUC